GAUGAACGCUGGCGGCGUGCCUAAUACAUGCAAGUCGAGCGAAUGGAUUAAGAGCUUGCUCUUAUGAAGUUAGCGGCGGACGGGUGAGUAACACGUGGGUAACCUGCCCAUAAGACUGGGAUAACUCCGGGAAACCGGGGCUAAUACCGGAUAACAUUUUGAAACGCAUGGGUCGAAAUUGAAAGGCGGCUUCGGCUGUCAUCUAUGGAUGGACCCGCGUCGCAUUAGCUAGUUGGUGAGGUAACGGCUCACCAAGGCAACGAUGCGUAGCCGACCUGAGAGGGUGAUCGGCCACACUGGGACUGAGACACGGCCCAGACUCCUACGGGAGGCAGCAGUAGGGAAUCUUCCGCAAUGGACGAAAGUCUGACGGAGCAACGCCGCGUGAGUGAUGAAGGCUUUCGGGUCGUAAAACUCUGUUGUUAGGGAAGAACAAGUGCUAGUUGAAUAAGCUGGCACCUUGACGGUACCUAACCAGAAAGCCACGGCUAACUACGUGCCAGCCGCCGCCGUAA
rnacentral:rRNA from 1 species